rnacentral:rRNA from 1 species
GCAAGUCGAACGGUAACAGGAGAAGCUUGCUUCUUGCUGACGAGUGGCGCACGGGUGAGUAAUGCAUAGGUAACGUGCCCCUUAGUCUGGGAUAGCCACUGGAAACGGUGAUUAAUACUAGAUACGCCUUCUUCCUUGAUGGAAGUUGGGAAAGUUUUUCGCUAAGGGAUCGGCCUAUGUUGUAUCAGGUAGUUGGUGAGGUAAUGGCUCACCAAGCCUAUGACACAUAGCGGGUCUGAGAGGAUGAUC